AUGCUCUCUUGAGCAGCACACAUGCUAAAACUGGAAUGAUACAAAGAAGAUUAGGACAAGAAUGACACAGAAAUUCGUGAAGCAUUCUAUAUUUUU
rnacentral:snRNA from 1 species